AGCAGCAUGGCGCAGUGGUAGCGCGCGGGGCCCAUAACCCCGAGGUCACUUGAUCGAAACAAGUUGCUGCUA
rfam:Gymnopus luxurians FD-317 M1 unplaced genomic scaffold GYMLTscaffold_4, whole genome shotgun sequence.